rnacentral:rRNA from 1 species
CACGUAGUUAGCCGGUGCUUAUUCUUCAGGUACCGUCAUCCCCCCGGGGUAUUAGCCCAGAAGAUUUCUUCCCUGACAAAAGCAGUUUACAACCCGAAGGCCUUCUUCCUGCACGCGGCAUUGCUGGAUCAGGCUUGCGCCCAUUGUCCAAAAUUCCCCA